AAGGACUUUGUCUAGUCUACGUUUCCUUCGGUGGCUGCGCACAUCUUUGAAGAAGAAAAGGUUCUGAGUCAAAGUCUAUAAAGCCUGACACAAACCGGAAGAUAUGGGGAUCUUUUGUAUUCAAGUAGAGUCAAGUGGAAACACAUUGAUGAAAAUUUCUAAUUCAGAUAAGCUCUAAAAUUUCAUCUCUUUUCUAGCAAAAGCUGCCAGCAAAUAGAUCUAUUACAAAGGAUGUACUUUGUUUUUGACUAGUAAGCUACACCAAAAGCAUAAAAAUAUAUAAACUUGACACAA